rnacentral:rRNA from 1 species
UACGUAGGGGGCAAGCGUUGUCCGGAAUCAUUGGGCGUAAAGAGCGUGUAGGCGGCCCGAUAAGUCCGCUGUGAAAGUCCAGGGCUCAACCCUGGGAUGCCGGUGGAUACUGUCGGGCUCGAGUCCGGAAGAGGAGUGUGGAAUUCCUGGUGUAGCGGUGAAAUGCGCAGAUAUCAGGAGGAACACCAACGGCGAAAGCACUCUGCUGGGCCGACACUGACACUGAGAGACGAAAGCUAGGGGAGCGAAUGGG